UCCGGGGAUAACAGGCUGAUACCGCCCAAGAGUUCAUAUCGACGGCGGUGUUUGGCACCUCGAUGUCGGCUCAUCACAUCCUGGGGCUGAAGUAGGUCCCAAGGGUAUGGCUGUUCGCCAUUUAAAGUGGUACGCGAGCUGGGUUUAGAACGUCGUGAGACAGUUCGGUCCCUAUCUGCCGUGGGCGCUGGAGAACUGAGGGGGGCUGCUCCUAGUACGAGAGGACCGGAGUGGACGCAUCACUGGUGUUCGGGUUGUCAUGCCAAUGGCACUGCCCGGUAGCUAAAUGCGGAAGAGAUAAGUGCUGAAAGCAUCUAAGCACGAAACUUGCCCCGAGAUGAGUUCUCCCUGACUCCUUGAGAGUCCUGAAGGAACGUUGAAGACGACGACGUUGAUAGGCCGGGUGUGUAAGCGCAGCGAUGCGUUGAGCUAACCGGUACUAAUGAACCGUGAGGCUUAACCUUACAACGCCGAAGCUGUU
rnacentral:rRNA from 1 species